AGAAACCUGUGCAGAUGAAAUGAAAGAGAGACUAGAUUACCAGGAAAAAGCCAAACACAGCUGCCUGCUUCUCAUAAUAAAGUAAUCAUCCAGCCCUCCGAAAGAAGCAGGAGAACAAGACUUUCCUUGUUGGCAGCUGAAAUGGGACUUUACAGUAUUAAAAUUAUCAAAGCUGCCCAGUCAUUAAAAUGCGACAGUGUUUAGAAGGAAGCACUUUUGCAAUGGAUUCCUAUGAGGGUCAUUCUCUGUGAAUUGGGAAGAGUUUAGUGUGCAAGUCCUUGAGCCAGACACAGGAAACCCUAGGCUGACUGGGAAAAUGGAAGUCAGGAAAAGAAGAGAAUGAAAUCCCAAGACAAUGGAGGAGUGCCCCUUCAUGUUGUGAAACACCUGCUCAGCUGGGAACUGAAUUCGAGCUGAGAAGUUUGGGCUUAUAGAUGAUCAGUUUGCAGAGGCUUACCCUCAGCAUAUCAAGAUUGAGUCUUUGGAAAUAAAGCCAAGUGAAUAUAAAAGAGAAGUAGAAGAGCAAAUUGGGCAGAAACAUGUCAAAAGCAAAAAACAAACAACAACAAGAAAACCCAGGAUAACAGGCAGCAUUUCAGUUGGAAUUUCCAAAAUGAUGGCACUGAACAAUCUGAAGUCUGCUUUUAUUUAGUGCCCCUGGCCAGUCAGAAAAGAAUGCACAGCUGCCUCACCAUGACCACCUGGGUCCUGCAGUUCUGCCAGCAGCCAGUACGGGACACAUGAGCCUGCCUUUUCUGACCCUUGGAGGACCCGCGUGUUCAGCACAUGCCACCUGAGGAUGAGAGCUCCAUUCUCCUCAGCACAGACUCCAGCCACACUGCCUCACUCCAGUUGGAGGCAGAGAUAAGUAAAAACCUUCCUCUAACUGCUGAGGAUCAGGGACCCACUAGAAGGGUUUUGUGUGGAAAAUUAGAAACAAAAAAAUAUUCCUAUGGCUCUAGUGCACCCCAAGGACUUUCCCCACACCCAAGUGUGGUGACCACAAUGCCAGGUGCACGCCAUGACCUCGUGACACAAAUAUAGCAUUUGUCACACAAUUAUAACACCUACAAUGGAGAUACAUCUGUAAACAAAUAUAUCACCCAUAAUACAGUUGUGACACUUGUAAUACUAAUGUAACAACUGUAAUAUUGAUCUGACACCUGUAAUACAACUGUAAGACUCAUAACAGCAAUAAAACACUCAGAAUACCAAUAUAGCAUCUGAAAUACAAAUAUAAUCACCCUAAUACUGAUCAAACACCCUUAAUAGAACUCUAACUCUCAUAACACCAAUGUCGAUUCACAAUACAAAUGAAACAUCCAUAACACUGAUGUAACAUCUAUAGUGCUCUCUUGACACCUGUAAUACAACUGUAACACUCACAAUACCAACAUACAACUCAUAAUACCAAUAUGGCAUCUGCAAUACAAAUAUAACAACUUUCAUACUGAUGUAACAACUUUCAUAUUGAUCUAACACAUAUAAUACUAAUAUAGCACUCCUAAUACCACUGUAACAUUUGUAAUACAAAUAGAACAACAAUAACACUGAUGUAACACCCGUAAAUACUGAUGUGACACCUGUCAUACAGAUGUAAGACCUGUAAUACUGACAUAACAUUCCUACACUUACAAAGGCAGUUGGUUUCACAGCUUCCACUGAGCUGGAUUUCGCUCCUAUAAUGAAGUUUGAUGUCGUUGUCUCUGCUUUAGUGACAUGGUAUUGACAUGGUUGUUUUCAUUGAAAAGGAGUUUACUUCCCAAUAGUUUUAUACCUCUAGGAAACUUGAAAUAGCAGUUAGUAUACUUUAUCCUUUCUCCCAGAUUCCCGACUGGUUGUUGCUGUGCCAUAUUUGCAGCUUCAUUCAAAAUAUCCCACUGUGUUUUACAAAAAGUAGAAACACUCUCCCAAAUUACCAUCAUGUAACUACCAAAUCAGGAAAUACAGGGUUAGUAUUGGUAAUUGUAAUGGCAAAAUAUUUAUUUACAAGCACAAAUUUAAUCCUGUCACUUUCCUGAUUUAAUUUUGCUAAUGGUUUUGAGAGGUGAAGCCACCUGAACUUCCUGGGUUGAGUGGGGACUCAGAGAAGUUUUCUGUCUAGCUAAAAGAUUGUAAGUGCACUAAUCAGCACUCUGUAGAAACACACUAAUCAGCACUCUGUGUCUAGCUGAAGGUUUGUAAAUGCCCCAAUCAGCACUCCAUAAACAUGCACCAAUCAGUGCUCUGUGUCUAGCUAAAGGUUUGUAAACACACCAAUCAGCACUCUAUAAAAUGGACCAACCAACAGAAUGUGGGUGAGAACAAACAAAACAAUAAAGGCUGGCCACCCCAGCCAGCAGCAGCAACCUGCUUGGGUCCCUUUCCACUCUGUGAAAGCUUUGUUCUUUUGCUCUUCAUAAUAAGUCUUGCUGCUGCUCACUCUUUGGGUCUGCAUUACCUUUGUGAGCUGUAACACUCACCAUGAAGCUCUGUGGCUUCAUUCCUGAAGUCAGCAAGACCACAAACCCACCAGGAGGAACAAACAACUCUGGACAUGCCACGUUUAAGAGCUGUAAAACUCACUGCCCAGGUCUGUGGCUUAACUCGUAAAGUCAGCAAGAUAACAAACUGACUGGAAGGAAUAAACUCCAGACACAUCUGAACAUUUGAAAGAACAAACUCUGGGCACACCAUCUUUAAGAACUGUAAUACUCACUGCGAGGGUCCAAGGCUUCAUUCUUGUAGUCAGUGAAACCAAGAACUCACCAGAAGCAACCAAUUCUGGACAUGUUUUGGCGACCCUGAAGGGACACUCACUAAGCAAUGGGAAACACUCAGGCAUCAACAGGUUCACCCUUGGAAUGCAUCCUAAGCCACUGGGACCAGUUUGACCCACAAACCCUGAAAAAGAGGUGGCUUAUUUUUUUCUGCACUAUGGCCUGACCCCAAUAUUCUCUCCCUGAUGGGGAAAAAUGGCCACCUGAGGGAAGUAAAAAUUACAAUACUUUCCUACAGCUUGACCUUUUCUGUAAGAGGGAAGCAAAUUUAGUGAAAUACCUUGUGUCCAAGCUUUCUUUUCAUUGAAGGAGAAUACACAACUAUGCAAAGCUUGCAAUUUACAUCCUAGAGGAGGACCUCUCAGCUUACCUUCAUACCCAGCCUCCACUAAACUCCUCUGCCCAGAGGGAAACAAGCAAAAGAAAUCUCCAAAGGACCACAAAAACCCCCAGGCUAUCAGUUAUGUCCCCUUCAAGCUGUAGGGGGAGGGGAAAUUGGCCUAACCUGGGUACAUGUCCCCUUCUCCCUCUCUGAUUUAAAGCAGAUCAAGGCAAACCUGGGGAGGUUUUCAGAUGAUCCUGAUAGGUACAUAGAUGUCCUACAAGGGUAUAGAGCAAACCUUCAAUCUCACUUGGAGAGAUGUCAUGCUAUUCUUAGAUCAAACCCUGGCCUUUAAUGAAAAGAUUGUGGCUUUAACUGCAGCCUGAGAGUUUGGAGAUACCUGGUGUCUUAGUCAAGUAAAUAAUAGAAUGACAGCCGAAGAAAGGCACAAAUUCCCUACCGGUCAAGCAAGCCAUCCCUUGUAUGGAUCCCCACUGGGACCUUGACUCAGAUCAUGGGGACUGGGAGUCAUAAAUAUCUAUUGAACUGUGUUCUAGAAGGACUAAGGAGAAUUAGGAAAAAAAACCAUGAAUUAGUCAACGAUGUCCAGCUUAACUCAGGGAAAAGAAGAAAAUCCUUCUGCCUUCCUUGAGAAGCUAUGGGAGGACUUAAGAAAAUAUACACCCCUGUCACCUGACUGACUCAAGUUUCAGUUGAUUCUAAAAGAUAAAUUUAUUACCCAAUCAGCCACAGAUAUCAGGAGAAAGCUCCAAAAGCAAGCCCUGGGCCCUGAACAAAAUCUGGAGGCAUUAUUGUUAUUAUUAUUGUUAUUAUUAUUAUUAUUAUUAUUAUUUUGAGACAAAGUUUUUCUCUUGUUGCCCAGGCUGGAGUGCAGUGUCACCAUCUCAGCUCACUGCAAGCUCUGCCAUCUGGAGGCAUUAUUAAACCUGGCAACCUCGGUAUUGUACAAUAGGGACUGAGAGGAACAGGCCCAAAAGGAAAAGAGAGAUCAGAGAAAGGCCACAACCUUAGUCAUGGCCUCAGACAAAGAAAUCUUGGUGGUUCAGAGAGGACAGAAAACGGAGCAGGCCAAUCACCUGAUAGGGCGUUUUACAAGUGUGGUUUAUAAGGAUAUUUUAAAAAAGAUUGUCCAAUGAGAAAAAAGCCACCCCCUCAUCCAUAUGCACAAUGCUGAGGCAAUCACUGAAAGGCCCACUGCCUCAGAGGGCAAAGGUUCUCUGGCCCAGGAGCCCACAACCAGAUGAACCAACAACAGGACUGAGGUUGCCUCAGGCAAGCACCAGCUCAUGUCAUCUCCCUCACUGAGCCCCAGCUACAUUUAACCAUUAAGGGCCAGGAAAUUGACUUCCUCCUAGACACUGGUGCAGCCUUCUCAGUGUUAACCUCCUGUCAGAGAUGACUGUCCUCAAGGUCUGUUACCAUCCAAGGAAUCCUGGGACAGCCUGUAACCAGGUAUUUCUCCCACCUCCUCAGUUGUAAUUGGGAGACUUUAUUCUUUUCACAUGACUCUCUUGUUAUGCCUGAAAGUCCCACACCCUUAUUAGGGAGAGAUAUAUUAGCCAAAGCUU
rnacentral:lncRNA from 10 species